UACGUAGGGUGCGAGCGUUGCUCGGAAUCACUGGGCGUAAAGCGCACGUAGGCGGAUUGUUAAGUCAGGGGUGAAAUCCUGGAGCUCAACUCCAGAACUGCCUUUGAUACUGGCGAUCUCGAGUCCGGGAGAGGUGAGUGGAACUGCGAGUGUAGAGGUGAAAUUCGUAGAUAUUCGCAAGAACACCAGUGGCGAAGGCGGCUCACUGGCCCGAUACUGACGCUGAGGUGCGAAAGCGUGGGGAGCAAACAGG
rnacentral:rRNA from 1 species